rnacentral:rRNA from 1 species
AACGAACGCUGGCGGCAGGCCUAACACAUGCAAGUCGAGCGCACUCUUCGGAGUGAGCGGCGGACGGGUUAGUAACGCGUGGGAAUGUACCCUUCUCUAAGGAAUAGCCUCGGGAAACUGAGAGUAAUACCUUAUACGCCCUUCGGGGGAAAGAUUUAUCGGAGAAGGAUCAGCCCGCGUUAGAUUAGAUAGUUGGUGGGGUAAUGGCCUACCAAGUCUACGAUCUAUAGCUGGUUUUAGAGGAUGAUCAGCAACACUGGGACUGAGACACGGCCCAGACUCCUACGGGAGGCAGCAGUGGGGAAUCUUGGACAAUGGGCGCAAGCCUGAUCCAGCCAUGCCGCGUGAGUGAUGAAGGCCUUAGGGUCGUAAAGCUCUUUCGCCUGUGAUGAUAAUGACAGUAGCAGGUAAAGAAACCCCGGCUAACUCCGUGCCAGCAGCCGCGGUAA